AUUGAACGCUGGCGGCAGGCUUAACACAUGCAAGUCGAACGGUAGCAGGAGAAAGCUUGCUUUCUUGCUGACGAGUGGCGGACGGGUGAGUAAUGCUUGGGAAUCUGGCCUAUGGAGGGGGGAUAACGACGGGAAACUGUCGCUAAUACCGCGUAUUAUCGGAAGAUGAAAGUGCGGGACUGAGAGGCCGCAUGCCAUAGGAUGAGCCCAAGUGGGAUUAGGUAGUUGGUGGGGUAAAGGCCUACCAAGCCUGCGAUCUCUAGCUGGUCUGAGAGGAUGACCAGCCACACUGGAACUGAGACACGGUCCAGACUCCUACGGGAGGCAGCAGUGGGGAAUAUUGCGCAAUGGGGGGAACCCUGACGCAGCCAUGCCGCGUGAAUGAAGAAGGCCUUAGGGUUGUAAAGUUCUUUCGGUAUUGAGGAAGGUUGAUGUGUUAAUAGCACAUCAAAUUGACGUUAAAUACAGAAGGAGCACCGGCUAACUCCGUGCCAGCAGCCGCGGUAAUACGGAGGGUGCGAGCGUUAAUCGGAAUAACUGGGCGUAAAGGGCACGCAGGCGGUUAUUUAAGUGAGGUGUGAAAGCCCCGGGCUUAACCUGGGAAUUGCAUUUCAGACUGGGUAACUAGAGUACUUUAGGGAGGGGUAGAAUUCCACGUGUAGCGGUGAAAUGCGUAGAGAUGUGGAGGAAUACCGAAGGCGAAGGCAGCCCCUUGGGAAUGUACUGACGCUCAUGUGCGAAAGCGUGGGGAGCAAACAGG
rnacentral:rRNA from 1 species